rnacentral:pre_miRNA from 1 species
AGUGCAGAGGGUGGUGAGCAUGCUGUGGCCUCUCAAGUAUCUCACCUUUCUCUGACUGUC